rnacentral:rRNA from 1 species
UUGAACGCUGGCGGCAUGCCUUACACAUGCAAGUCGAACGGUAACGGGUUAAGCCGACGAGUGGCGAACGGGUGAGUAAUAUAUCGGAACGUGCCCAGUCGUGGGGGAUAACGUAGCGAAAGCUACGCUAAUACCGCAUACGAUCUAUGGAUGAAAGCGGGGGAUCGCAAGACCUCGCGCGAUUGGAGCGGCCGAUAUCAGAUUAGGUAGUUGGUGGGGUAAAAGCCCACCAAGCCGACGAUCUGUAGCUGGUCUGAGAGGACGACCAGCCACACUGGGACUGAGACACGGCCCAGACUCCUACGGGAGGCAGCAGUGGGGAAUUUUGGACAAUGGGCGCAAGCCUGAUCCAGCAAUGCCGCGUGCAGGAUGAAGGCCUUCGGGUUGUAAACUGCUUUUGUACGGAACGAAACAGCAAGCUCUAAUAAAGCAUGCGAAUGACGGUACCGUAAGAAUAAGCACCGGCUAACUACGUGCCAGCAGCCGCGGUAAUACGUAGGGUGCAAGCGUUAAUCGGAAUUACUGGGCGUAAAGCGUGCGCAGGCGGUGAUGUAAGACAGAUGUGAAAUCCCCGGGCUCAACCUGGGACCUGCAUUUGUGACUGCAUCGCUAGAGUACGGUAGAGGGGGAUGGAAUUCCACGUGUAGCAGUGAAAUGCGUAGAUAUGUGGAGGAACACCGAUGGCGAAGGCAGCCCCCUGGGUCAAGACUGACGCUCAUGCACGAAAGCGUGGGGAGCAAACA